UACAGAGGUCUCAAGCGUUGUUCGGAUUCAUUGGGCGUAAAGGGUGCGUAGGCGGCGCCGUAAGUCGGAUGUGAAAUCUCAGGGCUUAACUCGGAGCGGUCAAGUGAUACUGUCGGACUAGAGUACAGAAGGGGCAACUGGAAUUCUCGGUGUAGCGGUGAAAUGCGUAGAUAUCGAGAGGAACACCUGCGGCGAAGGCGGGUUGCUGGGCUGAUACUGACGCUGAGGCGCGAAAGCCAGGGGAGCGAACGGG
rnacentral:rRNA from 1 species